rnacentral:rRNA from 1 species
GACGAACGCUGGCGGUGUGCUUAACACAUGCAAGUCGAACGAAAAUACCAAGCUUGCUUGGUUGAUUAGUGGCGAACGGGUGAGUAACACGUGAGUAACCUGCCCCUUACUUUCCUGGAUAACUGCUCGAAAGGGUAGCUAAUACGGGAUAUUCUGGCCUUCCUGCAUGGGUUGGUUUGGAAAGGUUGUUUUCUGGUAAGGGAUGGGCUCGCGGCCUAUCAGCUUGUUGGUGGGGUGAUGGCCUACCAAGGCUUUGACGGGUAGCCGGCCUGAGAGGGUGGACGGUCACACUGGGACUGAGAUACGGCCCAGACUCCUACGGGAGGCAGCAGUGGGGAAUAUUGCACAAUGGGCGCAAGCCUGAUGCAGCGACGCCGCGUGAGGGAUGAAGGCCUUCGGGUUGUAAACCUCUUUCGUCAGGGAACAAGGCACUACGUUUUGGUGGUGUUGAGGGUACCUGGAUAAGAAGCGCCGGCUAACUACGUGCCAGCAGCCGCGGUAAUACGUAGGGCGCAAGCGUUGUCCGGAAUUAUUGGGCGUAAAGAGCUCGUAGGCGGCUGGUCGCGUCUGUCGUGAAAACUUCCGGCUCAACCGGGGGCUUGCGGUGGGUACGGGCCGGCUAGAGUGCGGUAGGGGUAACUGGAACUCCUGGUGUAGCGGUGGAAUGCGCAGAUAUCAGGAAGAACACCGAUGGCGAAGGCAGGUUACUGGGCCGUUACUGACGCUGAGGAGCGAAAGCGUGGGGAGCGAACAGG